ACAUGCCUACAACAUAGAAUUAAUGCAUUGGAUCCCAUUAGAACUCCACAGUUAAGCGCACUCGGGCUAGAGUAGUACUGGGAUGGGUGGCUGCCUAGGAAGUCCUAGUAUUUUACAUGCC
rnacentral:rRNA from 1 species